GACUCUCGACAACGGAUAUCUCGGCUCUCGCAUCGAUGAAGAACGUAGCGAAAUGCGAUACUUGGUGUGAAUUGCAGAAUCCCAUGAACCAUCGAGUCUUUGAACGCAAGUUGCGCCCGAAGCCAUUAGGCCGAGGGCACGUCCGCCUGGGCGUCA
rnacentral:rRNA from 1 species